rnacentral:tRNA from 1 species
GUCCCGGUAGCUCAGCUGGAUAGAGCAGCGGACUUCUAAUCCGCAGGUCGAAGGUUCGAAUCCUUCCCGGGACG